rnacentral:rRNA from 1 species
AGAGUUGAUCCUGGCUCAGGAUGAACGCUGGCGGCGUGCCUAUACAUGCAAGUCGAGCGAACGGACGAGAAGCUUGCUUCUCUGAUGUUAGCGCGGACGGGUGAGUAACACGUGGAUAACCUACCUAUAAGACUGGGAUAACUUCGGGAAACCGGAGCUAAUACCGGAUAAUAUUUUGAACCGCAUGGUUCAAAGUGAAAGACGGUCUUGCUGUCACUUAUAGAUGGAUCCGCGCUGCAUUAGCUAGUUGGUAAGGUAACGGCUUACCAAGGCAACGAUGCAUAGCCGACCUGAGAGGGUGAUCGGCCACACUGGAACUGAGACACGGUCCAGACUCCUACGGGAGGCAGCAGUAGGGAAUCUUCCGCAAUGGGCGAAAGCCUGACGGAGCAACGCCGCGUGAGUGAUGAAGGUCUUCGGAUCGUAAAACUCUGUUAUUAGGAAGAACAUAUGUUGUAAGUAACUGUGCACAUCUUGACGGUACCUAAUCAGAAAGCCACGGCUAACUACGUGCCAGCAGCCGCGGUAAUACGUAGGUGGCAAGCGUUAUCCGGAAUUAUUGGGCGUAAAGCGCGCGUAGGCGGUUUUUUAAGUCUGAUGUGAAAGCCCACGGCUCAACCGUGGAGGGUCAUUGGAACUGGAAAACUUGAGUGCAGAAGAGGAAAGUGGAAUUCCAUGUGUAGCGGUGAAAUGCGCAGAGAUAUGGAGGAACACCAGUGGCGAAGGCGACUUUCUGGUCUGUAACUGACGCUGAUGUGCGAAAGCGUGGGGAUCAAAACAGGAUUAGAUACCCUGGUAGUCUACGCCGUAAACGAUGAGUGCUAAGUGUAGGGGGUUUCCGCCCCUUAGUGCUGCAGCUAACGCAUUAAGCACUCCGCUGGGGAGUACGACCGCAAGGUUGAAACUCAAAGGAAUUGACGGGGACCCGCACAAGCGGUGGAGCAUGUGGUUUAAUUCGAAGCAACGCGAAGAACCUUACCAAAUCUUGACAUCCUUUGACAACUCUAGAGAUAAGCCUUCCCCUUCGGGGGACAAGUGACAGGUGGUGCAUGGUUGUCGUCAGCUCGUGUCGUGAGAUGUUGGGUUAAGUCCCGCAACCGAGCGCAACCCUUAAGCUUAGUUGCCAUCAUUAAGUUGGGCACUCUAAGUUGACUGCCGGUGACAAACCGGAGGAAGGUGGGGAUGACGUCAAAUCAUCAUGCCCUUAUGAUUUGGGCUACACACGUGCUACAAUGGACAAUACAAAGGGCAGCGAAACCGCGAGGUCAAGCAAAUCCCAUAAAGUGUUCUCAGUUCGGAUUGUAGUCUGCAACUCGACUACAUGAAGCUGGAAUCGCUAGUAAUCGUAGAUCAGCAUGCUACGGUGAAUACGUUCCCGGGUCUUGUACACACCGCCCGUCACACCACGAGAGUUUGUAACACCCGAAGCCGGUGGAGUAACCUUUUAGGAGCUAGCCGUCGAAGGUGGGACAAAUGAUUGGGGUGAAGUCGUAACAAGGUAGCCGUAUCGGAAGGUGCGGCUGGAUCACCU